UUCAUAAACCCUUGUGCUCUUCCACUCUCUCUCUUUAAAACCCUUGAAGAAAAUCUUAUUUCCAUACUCUCUCUCUAGUUAGGUGUUUUAGAGAGAGAAAGAGGAAGCUUCAAUAAUAGCUUGAAAGUUUUUGGAAAGAAUUUCAAGCAUAAAGCUAGCAAGGUGAGUAGUGAACUAGAAUUGAUUUUUAGUGUUGAAAAUGAUUAGUGUUUAGACUUGUGGGUGUUUUGGUAGUUGAGGUUGUAAAUUCACUUUGGAGUGAUUAGGAUAGUGGAAAUGGAUAGCCAUUUAAUGGCAUUUGGAAACUAGUAGGUGAUAGCUUGUAAAACUUGUAAUUAUGAGAAUUGAGUUAAUUGUGAUGUUAAUGUGAUGAUAGGUUCCAACGAAGCCACACCGUCCCAUUUGGACCAUUAGGGAAGUUAGAGUCGACUAAAGG
rnacentral:lncRNA from 1 species